GGACGGGGACGGGUGUGCGGACGAUUAGCUAGUUGGCGGGGCAACGGCCCACCAAGGCGACGAUCGUUAGCUGAUGUGAGAGCAUGGUCAGCCACACGGGCACUGAGACACGGGCCCGACUCUACGGGAGGCAGCAGUAAGGAAUAUUGGUCAAUGGGCGCAGGCCUGAACCAGCCAUGCCGCGUGGAGGACGAAGGCCCUCCGGGUCGUAAACUCCUUUUACCCGGGACGAAAAAAGCCCUUUUGAGGGCACUUGACGGUACCGGGGGAAUAAGCACCGGCUAACUCCGUGCCAGCAGCCGCGGUAAUACGGAGGGUGCGAGCGUUAUCCGGAUUCACUGGGUUUAAAGGGUGCGCAGGCGGGCUUUUAAGUCAGCGGUGAAACCCGCGGGCUCAACCCGCGGACUGCCGAUGAUACUAGGGGCCUUGGAUGUCGCUGAGGGCAGCGGAAUGGGGCAUGUAGCGGUGAAAUGCAUAGAUAUGCCCCGGAACACCGAUUGCGGAGGCAGCUGCCUAAAGGACGAUCGACGCUGAGGCACGAAAGCGUGGGUAGCGAACAGGGUUAGAUACCCUGGUAGUCCACGCCCUAAACGAUGAUUACUCGACGUCCGCGGCAUACUGUGGGCGUCCAAGCGAAAGCAU
rnacentral:rRNA from 1 species